UACGUAGGGUCCGAGCGUUGUCCGGAUUUAUUGGGCGUAAAGAGCUCGUAGGCGGUUCCGUAAGUCAGAUGUGAAAACUCAGGGCUCAACCCGGAGACGCCAUCUGAUACUGCGGUGACUGGAGUCUGGUAGGGGAACACGGAAUUCCUGGUGUAGCGGUGAAAUGCGCAGAUAUCAGGAGGAACACCGAUGGCGAAGGCGGCGCUCUGGGCCGGUACUGACGCUGAGGAGCGAAAGCGUGGGGAGCAAACAGG
rnacentral:rRNA from 1 species